rnacentral:lncRNA from 1 species
CGUUACACGGACUGUGCACGCGCCUCCGGUGUCCCUGCGCGUGACACAAAUUUGGCCCCGAGGGAGCUCCAUGUGCCUGAGUCCCAGGAGCCCUAGAUGCCAGCGACAGCUUGUCACCAGGCCUGCGACGCCAAUGGGCGGGAGUCGGCGGAGCUCAGGACACUGACGACGGGCCUGGGGGAAAGCGGUCCCCACACAGCCCGGGGCCAGAGGAGCGGGCUGCCAGGGUCAGACGGAGGAAGACCGCGGGAAACAGACUGGACGUGCAGGGAAAUCCGCCACCCACAAGCACACUUGGAGGCAGCAUCCUUGCAGGACUCGCGCCGGAGCCUGAGCCCUCCAGCCAGCCCAGCGCGCCACCGCCCUUCUGUCCCCAGCCACCCACGAGAGAAUCUGGGUCGCCAGGGCCUUGUCCUUCACCAAGGCAAAGCCGGCUCAGCCUCAGAGCCACAGGCGAGAGCGCCUGUCUGCAUGUAGAGGGAACUAAGCUGGGCAGGGUCAGCGUCCCAUUCUGCAGAGGAGGAAGCUGAGGCCCACGAGGUGUCAUGAGGACUGGACAUGGGUCUAUCAGGACCAUCGGCAUGAUGUCAGCCAAGGAUCUCGUGGCCUGCCUCUGCCAAGGGGGGACCAGCACCUUGUCCUGAGCACUUCCAGCCUCCCAUUGCCUUCAACCUGGCUGCAUUCAGCUGCCAUGCCCCUACCUCCUGAUGUGGC